UACAGAGACUGCAAGCGUUAUUCGGAUUCACUGGGCGUAAAGGGUGCGCAGGCGGCCGAGUGUGUGAGGCGUGAAAGCCCGGGGCUCAACCCCGGAAUUGCACCUCAAACUACACGGCUAGAGCAUUGGAGAGGGUAGCGGAAUUCACGGUGUAGCAGUGAAAUGCGUAGAUAUCGUGAGGAACACCAGAGGCGAAGGCGAGUCCCUGGACAACACCUGACACUGAGGCACGAAAGCUAGGGGAGCAAACAGG
rnacentral:rRNA from 1 species